rnacentral:rRNA from 1 species
CCCUAGUAACUGCGAGUGAAGCGGGAAAAGCUCAAAUUUAAAAUCUGGCAGUCUUUGAUUGUCCGAGUUGUAAUCUAGAGAAGUGUUAUCCGCGUUGGACCGUGUACAAGUCUCCUGGAAUGGAGCAUCAUAGAGGGUGAGAAUCCCGUCUUUGACAUGGACUACCAGUGCUUUGUGAUGCGCUCUCAAAGAGUCGAGUUGUUUGGGAAUGCAGCUCAAAAUGGGUGGUAAAUUCCAUCUAAAGCUAAAUAUUGGCGAGAGACCGAUAGCGAACAAGUACCGUGAGGGAAAGAUGAAAAGAACUUUGGAAAGAGAGUUAAACAGUACGUGAAAUUGCUGAAAGGGAAACGCUUGAAGUCAGUCGCGUUGGCUGGAAAUCAACCUUGCUUUUGCUGGGCGUACUUUCUAGUCAAUGGGUCAGCAUCAAUUUUGACCAUUGGAAAAAGUGUAGAGGAAUGUGGCAUCUUCGGAUGUGUUAUAGCCUUUGCUCGCAUACAAUGGUUGGGAUUGAGGAAUUCAGCACGCCGCAAGGCCGGGUUUCGACCACGUUCGUGCUUAGGAUGCUGGCAUAAUGGCUUUAAUCGACCCGUCUUGAAACACGGACCAAGGAGUCUAACAUACCUGCGAGUGUUUGGGUGGAAAACCCAAGCGCGUAAUGAAAGUGAAAGUUGAGAUCCCUGUCGUGGGGAGCAUCGACGCCCGGACCAGACCUUUUGUGACGGAUCUGCGGUAGAGCAUGUAUGUUGGGACCC